CAAAAGAGACAUUCACUGUACAUUAUUCACACAUCUCAACUUCGUUCCAUUUGUUUCUCAUUUGAAACCUUCACAACUCUUAUUUCACAACUCAAUUUUUGUUUUUCACUAUUUUUCUUCCAAGCAAGCAUUCAUUUUUAUUUUCUCUAUAUUAUAUUAUUUUUUCUUUUCUUUCACAUCAUAUUUACAAAACAGAUGUUUUUCUUUUCUAAUUUUUAUUUUCAAUGCUUGCUCGGUUUUUCAAGAGUUGUGGCACUUACUGAUUCUCA
rnacentral:lncRNA from 1 species